rnacentral:rRNA from 1 species
GAACGCUGGCGGCGUGCUUAACACAUGCAAGUCGAACGGAAAGGCCCUGCUUUUGUGGGGUGCUCGAGUGGCGAACGGGUGAGUAACACGUGAGUAACCUGCCCUUGACUUUGGGAUAACUUCAGGAAACUGGGGCUAAUACCGGAUAGGAGCUCCUGCUGCAUGGUGGGGGUUGGAAAGUUUCGGCGGUUGGGGAUGGACUCGCGGCUUAUCAGCUUGUUGGUGGGGUAGUGGCUUACCAAGGCUUUGACGGGUAGCCGGCCUGAGAGGGUGACCGGCCACAUUGGGACUGAGAUACGGCCCAGACUCCUACGGGAGGCAGCAGUGGGGAAUAUUGCACAAUGGGCGGAAGCCUGAUGCAGCAACGCCGCGUGCGGGAUGACGGCCUUCGGGUUGUAAACCGCUUUCGCCUGUGACGAAGCGUGAGGGACGGUAAUGGGUAAAGAAGCACCGGCUAACUACGU